UACGUAGGGUGCGAGCGUUGUCCGGAAUUAUUGGGCGUAAAGGGCUCGUAGGCGGUCUGUCACGUCAGGAGUGAAAACUCGGGGCUCAACCCCGAGCCUGCUUCUGAUACGGGCAGACUGGAGGUAUGCAGGGGAGAACGGAAUUCCUGGUGUAGCGGUGAAAUGCGCAGAUAUCAGGAGGAACACCGGUGGCGAAGGCGGGUCUCUGGGCAGUAACUGACGCUGAGGAGCGAAAGCGUGGGGGAGCGAACAGG
rnacentral:rRNA from 1 species